rnacentral:lncRNA from 1 species
UUGAAAUCACCCUUGUUAGCUAAUCAACUUGCUUAUUUUUUAUCUUUAGCUAUGGCAUACUAAAAAUAAUAUCAUAUUUGAGCUUUGUUACUUUAAACUUCUUUCUCAAGGCAUAGGUAUCAUUUAAUCUCAAGGUUUUUUUUUUCACAUGUCUCACUUUAUACAUUCUCUUAGUCAUGAGUUAGAUAUAUACUUUUUAAUUUGAUCAUCUUGAUUUUAAUUCCAAAUUGGUCAAUAAUCUUAGUCAAGAUGCAAUUUUUUGUAGAACUAGAAGCUAUAAGUACUUCACAUGGUUGUCAUCUUAGUUGACUUGCUAGACAAAUCAGUCGACCCUUCUUAUAAUUGUUGAAGGUCAUAUUAU